rnacentral:misc_RNA from 1 species
GGAUGCUUCUUUCUCUUUACCCUUCAUCCAUCCAUCCCUCUCUCCCUAUGACUUCUUUUCCCUUUUUAUUUAAUUAAUAAUUCCCCAAUUUUAAAUUAUGGGGUGCGCAACCUCUAAGCAUGAUGACUUGCCGGCGGUCGCUCUAUGCCGUGAACGUUGUGCCUUUUUAGACCAAGCUAUUCACCACCGUUACGCUUUUGCGGAAGCCCAUCUAGCUUAUCUUCACUCAUUGAAAUCCGUCGGCGCUUCUCUUCACCGGUUUUUCCAAAAUGAUCUCGAUCUUUCCACUUCAUCAUCGGGUAGUCCUCUUUCCCCGAUUCUCCCUCAUCCCAAAGAUGAAACUUCCUCUGCCCUUCCUCAUCCAGUUAAAAAAAUUCACCAUUCUCACUCUAGUUCCGGUUCACACCUUCACUUCCACUCGGAAUCCGACGAAGAUGAUGAUUCCGGUUCCGACUCUUUGCAUCACCAUCCGGAAACCCCUACUCAUGGUCAGUUCACUUAUGGUGAUCAUCAAAACCUAGGGUUCGGAGCACCACCAUAUCAAGUUGGUGGCGUCGGUGGGUUCG